AUUGAACGCUGGCGGCAGGCCUAACACAUGCAAGUCGAGCGGAUGAAGGGAGCUUGCUCCUGGAUUCAGCGGCGGACGGGUGAGUAAUGCCUAGGAAUCUGCCUGGUAGUGGGGGAUAACGUCCGGAAACGGGCGCUAAUACCGCAUACGUCCUGAGGGAGAAAGUGGGGGAUCUUCGGACCUCACGCUAUCAGAUGAGCCUAGGUCGGAUUAGCUAGUUGGUGGGGUAAAGGCCUACCAAGGCGACGAUCCGUAACUGGUCUGAGAGGAUGAUCAGUCACACUGGAACUGAGACACGGUCCAGACUCCUACGGGAGGCAGCGGUGGGGAAUAUUGGACAAAGGGCGAAAGCCUGAUCCAGCCAUGCCGCGUGUGUGAAGAAGGUCUUCGGAUUGUAAAGCACUUUAAGUUGGGAGGAAGGGCAGUAAGUUAAUACCUUGCUGUUUUGACGUUACCGACAGAAUAAGCACCGGCUAACUUCGUG
rnacentral:rRNA from 1 species